GACGAACGCUGGCGGCGUGCUUAACACAUGCAAGUCGAACGGAAAGGCCCUGCUUUUGUGGGGUGCUCGAGUGGCGAACGGGUGAGUAACACGUGAGUAACCUGCCCUUGACUUUGGGAUAACUUCAGGAAACUGGGGCUAAUACCGGAUAGGAGCUCCUGCUGCAUGGUGGGGGGUGGAAAGUUUCGGCGGUUGGGGAUGGACUCGCGGCUUAUCAGCUUGUUGGUGGGGUAGUGGCUUACCAAGGCUUUGACGGGUAGCCGGCCUGAGAGGGUGACCGGCCACAUUGGGACUGGGAUACGGCCCAGACUCCUACGGGAGGCAGCAGUGGGGAAUAUUGCACAAUGGGCGGAAGCCUGAUGCAGCAACGCCGCGUGCGGGAUGACGGCCUUCGGGUUGUAAACCGCUUUCGCCUGUGACGAAGCGUGAGUGACGGUAAUGGGUAAAGAAGCACCGGCUAACUACGUG
rnacentral:rRNA from 1 species